GAAGUUUUUCCAACUCUUCGAGAAACCUCAAUUCGACCCUUCUACUAUCUUUAUCCACCAUAACUUUGAUAGAUGCAAACGUAUUUCUAACUAAUUUUAAAUAAUGGUAUGUUUCCAAUAAAACAAAGACUUUUUGGUGGCCAUCACUGGGACAAUAUGUCCAAAACUCCUUGCCUGGUUCCAAAUUAUCUCCCAAUUUUUAGCAUAGUUUGAUGGCUACUAGGUACAUCGCAAGUGAAUGAAGUUACUGUUAUAUUGAUUGAAUGGAGCCUUCUCAGACAUUGAUUGACUAUUAAAGAUUGUUAAUCUUGGCAUUGGAAAGAAAGGUUGUCACAGUGAUGGAAAAGUCCUUUCAGAUUCUAUUUGUGGCAGAUCUUUGAUGGAUGGGACCUUAGAUUUUCCAGCUCCCAAGGGACCUCCUAACACAAAUAUAAAAAGUGCCUCAUGUCCUCCUUGGUGAGGAAAUCUUCCCCUUAAGAUUAAAUUUAAUACGCCCAUAUCCAAGGAAAGAUUUGAAUGAAGAACAGGCCGUAUUCAAUUAUAGACAAUCUAAGGCUAGAAGAGUCGUUGAAAAUGCUUUCGGUAUCCUUGCUAAAUGGUUGGAGAAUAUUUCGAGGAGAAAUUAAAGAUUAUUCAGACCGCUGAGUCAUUAAAUAUACAAAGUCAACCAUUAUUUUCCAUAACUUUCUUUAACAUUACAUUGGACACAAUUUCAUAAAGAAGUUGCUUACUUGUAAGAAUAUCUUCAUUUGUGAUGAAAAAGUGGUUCUGGCUUUG
rnacentral:lncRNA from 1 species